UCACGGUGGUCGGGGAGCAGGAGGCGGCCAGCCUCCAGAGCAGGCGGACCCCCGGCUCGGCGUCGGGGCCGGGGA
rnacentral:tRNA from 1 species